AGAGUUUGAUCCUGGCUCAGGACGAACGCUGGCGGCGUGCUUAACACAUGCAAGUCGAACGGAAAGGCCCCUUCGGGGGUGCUCGAGUGGCGAACGGGUGAGUAACACGUGGGUGAUCUGCCCUGCACUUCGGGAUAAGCUUGGGAAACUGGGUCUAAUACCGGAUAGGACCGCAUGCUGCAUGGUGUGUGGUGGAAAGCGUUUAGUGGUGUGGGAUGGGCCCGCGGCCUAUCAGCUUGUUGGUGGGGUGAUGGCCUACCAGGCGACGACGGGUAGCCGGCCUGAGAGGGUGUCCGGCCACACUGGGACUGAGAUACGGCCCAGACUCCUACGGGAGGCAGCAGUGGGGAAUAUUGCACAAUGGGCGCAAGCCUGAUGCAGCGACGCCGCGUGGGGGAUGACGGCCUUCGGGUUGUAAACCUCUUUCACCAUCGGCGAAGCCGGAGGGUUUUCUUUUCGGUGACGGUAGGUGGAGAAGAAGCACCGGCCAACUACGUGCCAGCAGCCGCGGUAAUACGUAGGGUGCGAGCGUUGUCCGGAAUUACUGGGCGUAAAGAGCUCGUAGGUGGUUUGUCGCGUUGUUCGUGAAAUUCCCUGGCUUAACUGGGGGCGUGCGGGCGAUACGGGCAGACUGGAGUACUGCAGGGGAGACUGGAAUUCCUGGUGUAGCGGUGGAAUGCGCAGAUAUCAGGAGGAACACCGGUGGCGAAGGCGGGUCUCUGGGCAGUAACUGACGCUGAGGAGCGAAAGCGUGGGGAGCGAACAGGAUUAGAUACCCCGGUAGUCC
rnacentral:rRNA from 1 species